AGGAAACCUAUAUUUGAGGGAGAAAGGAUGAGUGAAGAUCAAUAAUUACAACUGGCUUCAUUGGAAUAUUUAUUCUACUUGGAAAAUUAUUUAUUUUUAACGAUUUAUUUUUAGCUGAUACUUAUUCUCAGGAUUUUGAGUCCUUCAAAAAUAAAAGAAAUGAAGUUCAUGAGUUUUUGUAGCAUCCAUUCUGCUGAAAACCCCAAGUGAAUUCUAGGCAGAAGGAUUGCAUGGCUCAGCAUACUCCUUUGUUCUCUAGCCAGGGAGACAGUAAGCAAAAUUGUCAGUUUUCAUUGGAUCAUUGUCUAGCAUUACAGGAGUGAAAUGAGGGAGGAAGCCUAGA
rnacentral:lncRNA from 1 species